UUUUCAAAAAAAUUUGCAUAGCGCUAGGCCAUUACGUUACAUUACAGUCGUUACAGACUUGUUUCCAUUACCUGUGACCGCGAUAUGAAACCAUGUUACAGAUUUAGAAAAGGAAAGACCUGAAGCUAAAAAUCACAUAUUUCAAAUGUCCACAUAUUGUCAAAUCCUUUUGAUGAAGAAUUCUGGGAAUUCCAACAUGCAUAAGCAUAUAGAUGUAGGCAAGGUCAAUGUCCAGUUCUAGGCCAGAACCAGUUCCAGUCCUAAGGGCUGGGGAGCUGGGACCUGACCGAAGUGUUGCCCUCAGUUUUGGUCCCAAUUCUGUUCUGGUUCGGUUUAAUCAGGUUCAUGACAGUCAAAUUCUUUUAUUUUUAUAUUUUUUAAAAGAGAAAAAAUCUGGUUUUGAUCUGAAACUG
rnacentral:misc_RNA from 1 species